ensembl:lncRNA
AUCAGUUUUCUCACAGCUGUGUGUUUGUUGCAGUUUUGAGAAUGAAGUAAGAGUGCCUACAGAUCUAAAUUUUAUUAUUAUAGCUUCACUUCACAUCCCUGUUCACAUUAGCUGGUCUCAGGUUUACAUCGUCACUUUGAAUGUUCUUCAUUUCUUCACUUUAGUUCAGCUGCACUUGGCUCUGAUGCUCCAUUAAACUACAUGCAAACCGGCAGCCUUCAGUCUAUAGUAUAAAACUUAAAAACAGAGACAUCAUCAAGCAGUCAUACUGAUCACACAGUCGCCUCUAACACUGUAAUCAACAACCCCACUGAGGAAUCGAUUUAUGGAACUCAAGUUCUGCCCCACAUCCCGUCCAUCAUGUGGCAUCAUGAUCAAUGGCCUGUUCUAAAGAGCAACUGACCUGGAAAGUUAACCAGGACUCUUGUUAGACUCUACCAGAACACAUAUGGAGGGUUUGGUCACUAUGUCUCCACCAGCAAGACUGCAUUUUCACUUUUGACAGGUGUCUCCAUAUUCAGAAAACGGGCGGUGCAUCUGCAUGUUUUAAUAGCUGUAUGCAUUUGUUCCUGCAGAGCCGAGAGAGUGUUUGAGAAAGUGUGUCACCCUCACAGAGUUCAGCCACUCGUCAUGGGAGGUAAAUGCAUUUAGGGCAACUGUGCAAGAGAGGACUAGGGCGUGAAAGCUAUCGAAAUCUGGCCAGCCCAGCUCAUCAUGGUCCAGUUUUCUAUGCACACCAAUAAUGGAGGCGAAAAUGCAAAACGGCUCAUCGAAAACAGGACGAGGGGUUACAGUCAAUGGGACUGUGUCCACCCUGAAGAGGCAGCCGAGGCCCAAGACAGCGUCAGGCAGGCAGGAACGUGGCUCCUGUUCUUCAACAGCCUCUUGUCCAGUGUUCUCUGGAUGCCAGAGCGACCUGGACGAAGAGCUGCAGCCACGCUGUCCAUCCAGCCUUUCCUCACCCUCCCUGCACAGGCCUGGUUCCACCUCCAAUCUGAAGGGCUCCGUCUCCAGCCUGCAAGGCUCCUUGUCAAGUCUAAAGGGUUCGGUGGUAAGCCUCAAGAGCUUUCCUACCUCCUCGACACUGCAGAGCUCCAGUCUCAGCCUGCGGAGUUCCAGCCCGAGCCUCCGGAGCUCCAGCUCCAGCCAGCGCAGCUCCAGUGAGGACGACAGCUGGGACACCAACAGCUGGAGCUCCGGAGCCACAUGUCUGCUGCGCAGCUCUAUUAAGCAGCACAGCGAGGAGGUUUUCCGGGUACGUGCUGUCUCUGUGAGUCGACCUGAGGGCACGAGUGAUUCCGAGACAGGCUACCAGAACUCUGACAGCUGCCAGGGCAGUGUGGUGGGAUCAGAGAGCCAGGAGGGAGCGGAGCAGGUCGAUGUGGGGCGGAGAGAUUCGUCAUCAAGUCAGGGCACCUCUGUUGCUUCAACCGCAUCAUCCAACUUAGAGCAGAAGAUUGAAGAGAAGCUCAAGUUUUCUCAGUUUCUUGAUGAGGUUACGUGUAGGGUCCUGGAACCCGAGUGUCUACAAGCUUUCGGUGUGCCCAUUCGUCAGAAGGAGUCGCCUUGUCCACAAACAUCAUCUCCCCAAUGCCUAAACUUAACCCCGGUUUCCAGUCCUUGGUUUGGUUCCAGUAGGGAUUCUACCUAUAAUUCCAGGGACAGUAACGUGUACAAGUGGGCCAAGUGCAUGCCGAGCUGCAAGAUUCUGGAUGCCAGCGAAACCCUGAGAAGAACUCAAGAGGAAAUGGAAAUGUUAGGAAGGACCUACCUAGAGACUGACAUAGACAGAGUAAGGAGGGAAGAUGAAGUGAGUUCCACACAUCUACAAGACAUGGAGAAGAGAACUUUACAGACGAGUGGAAAAUCUUCUCGCGGAUGCCCGAGUCCUGUUUUAAAGCGCUCAGACGGGGCACCGCAGCCACCGCACCGCACCACCUCGCUCCCGAGACCUGCUGUGAGUGGCAUCAUGGUCUCUGAUGGAAACGCGAGCAGCAGCAGGUAAAGAGGCCCCUUCUCUCCUCUUCUGUCCUCUCCUCUCGUCUCUUCUCGUCUCUUCUGUUCUUGUCUCGUCUUGUCUCAUCUCCACUCCUGUCCACUCCUCUCGUCUCCUGUUGUCUCGUCUCCUGUCCUCUCCUGUCCACUCCUCUCAUCUCUUCUCCUCUUAUCUCUACUCUUCUCAUCUCGUCUCCUCUCCUCUCCUCUCCUCUCCUCUCCUCUCGUCUCCCCUCCUCUCGUCUCCCCUCCUGUCCUCUCCUCUCCUCUCCUCUUCUCUCCUCUCCUCUCCUCUCCUCUCCUUUCCACUCUUCUCUUCUCUUCUCUUCUCUUCUCUUCUCUUCUCUUCUUGUCUCUUCUUCUCUCAUCUCGUCUCCACUCCUGUCCACUCCUCUCGUCUCCUCUUGUCUUGUCUCUUGUCCUCUCCUGUCCACUCCACUCAUCUCCUCUUGUCUCGUCUCCUGUCCUCUCCUGUCCACUCCUCUCAUCUCUUCUCCUCUUGUCUCUACUCGUCUCGUCUCCUCUCCUCUCCUCUCCUCUCCUCUCAUCUCCUCUUGUCUCGUCUCCUGUCCACUCUUGUCCACUCCUCUCAUCUCGUCUCCUCUUGUCUCGUCUCCUGUCCAUUCCUCUCAUCUCCUCUUGUCUCGUCUUGUCUUCUCUCCUGUCCUUUCAUCUCCUCUCUUCUCUUCUCUUCUCUUCUCCUGUCCACUCCUCUAUUCUUUUCUCAUCUCGCCUCUUCUGUCCACUCCUCUCAUCUCGUCUUUUCUCCUCUUGUCUCCUCUCGUCUUGUCUCAUCUCCUCUCGUCUUGUCUCGUCAUUUCUCCUCUCAUCUUGUCUCUUCUCCUCUCGUCUAGUCUCUUCUCCUCUCCUCUUGUCUCCUCUCGUCUUGUCUCUUCUCCUCUCAUCUUGUCUCGUCUCUUCUCUUCUUCUCUCUUCUCCUCUCGUCUUGUCUAGUCUCUUCUCCUCUCCUCUUGUCUCCUCUCGUCUUGUCUCUUCUCCUCUCCUCUUGU